GGUCAGUGAUGAGCUGACAUGUAUUCUGAAUCUAAAGUUGAUUAUUAGUACUUUAGUUCUAGAAUUACUGAGACAUG
ensembl:snoRNA